UCGUAACAAGGUCUCCGUUGGUGAACCAGCGGAGGGAUCAUUACAGAGUUGCAAAACUCCCUAAACCAUUGUGAACGUUACCUAAACCGUUGCUUCGGCGGGCGGCCCCGGGGUUUACCCCCCGGGCGCCCCUGGGCCCCACCGCGGGCGCCCGCCGGAGGUCACCAAACUCUUGUUAAUUUAUGGCCUCUCUGAGUCUUCUGUACUGAAUAAGUCAAAACUUUCAACAACGGAUCUCUUGGUUCUGGCAUCGAUGAAGAACGCAGCGAAAUGCGAUAAGUAAUGUGAAUUGCAGAAUUCAGUGAAUCAUCGAAUCUUUGAACGCACAUUGCGCCCGCCAGUAUUCUGGCGGGCAUGCCUGUUCGAGCGUCAUUUCAACCAUCAAGCCCCCGGGCUUGUGUUGGGGACCUGCGGCUGCCGCAGGCCCUGAAAAGCAGUGGCGGGCUCGCUGUCACACCGAGCGUAGUAGCAUACAUCUCGCUCUGGGCGUGCUGCGGGUUCCGGCCGUUAAACCACCUUUUAACCCAAGGUUGACCUCGGAUCAGGUAGGAAGACCCGCUGAACUUAAGCAUAUCAAUAA
rnacentral:misc_RNA from 1 species